UACGAAGGGGGCUAGCGUUGCUCGGAAUCACUGGGCGUAAAGCGCACGUAGGCGGACUCUUAAGUCGGGGGUGAAAUCCUGGAGCUCAACUCCAGAACUGCCUUCGAUACUGGAGAGCUCGAGUCCGGGAGAGGUGGAGUGGAACUGCGAGUGUAGAGGUGAAAUUCGUAGAUAUUCGCAAGAACACCAGUGGCGAAGGCGGCUCACUGGCCCGGUACUGACGCUGAGGUGCGAAAGCGUGGGGAGCGAGUCCGG
rnacentral:rRNA from 1 species